rnacentral:rRNA from 1 species
GACGAACGCUGGCGGCGUGCUUAACACAUGCAAGUCGAACGGAAAGGCCUCUUUCGGGGGGUACUCGAGUGGCGAACGGGUGAGUAACACGUGAGUAGCCUGCCCUUGACUUUGGGAUAACUUCAGGAAACUGGGGCUAAUACCGGGUAGGAGCUCCUGCUGCAUGGUGGGGGUUGGAAAGUUUCGGCGGUUGGGGAUGGACUCGCGGCUUAUCAGCUUGUUGGUGGGGUAGUGGCUUACCAAGGCUUUGACGGGUAGCCGGCCUGAGAGGGUGACCGGCCACAUUGGGACUGAGAUACGGCCCAGACUCCUACGGGAGGCAGCAGUGGGGAAUAUUGCACAAUGGGUGGAAGCCUGAUGCAGCAACGCCGUGUGCGGGAUGACGGCCUUCGGGUUGUAAACCGCUUUCGCUCAUGACGAAGCUUUGUGUGACGGUAGUGGGUAAAGAAGCACCGGCUAACUACGUG